GCUGCUGUAGCUCAGUGGGUAGAGCGCCGUGAAUGCAUCGCUUCCGUGACUCGCGCGGCUCGACCGCGCCCCGAUGGCCGAAGCGUACACACACAAUCGGGUUCAUCACCCGGAGGUCGUAGGUUCGAAUCCUACCAGCAGCCCCA
rnacentral:tRNA from 1 species